rnacentral:rRNA from 1 species
UACGGAGGGUGCGAGCGUUGUCCGGAAUCACUGGGCGUAAAGGGCGCGUAGGCGGCGCGGAUAGUCGGCGGUGAAAGCCCGGAGCUCAACUCCGGGUCGGCCGUCGAUACUUCCGGGCUUGAGCACUGUAGAGGCAGAUGGAAUUCCGGGUGUAGCGGUGGAAUGCGUAGAGAUCCGGAAGAACACCAGUGGCGAAGGCGGCCCGCUGGGCAGUGGCUGACGCUGAGGCGCGACAGCGUGGGGAGCAAACAGG